rnacentral:rRNA from 1 species
GACGAACGCUGGCGGCGUGCUUAACACAUGCAAGUCGAGCGGUAAGGCCCUUUCGGGGGUACACGAGCGGCGAACGGGUGAGUAACACGUGGGUGACCUGCCCUUAGCUCUGGGAUAAGCCUGGGAAACUGGGUCUAAUACCGGNUAUGACUCCAUGACGCAUGUUGUGGGGUGGAAAGCCUUGUGCGGCUAGGGAUGGGCCCNCGGCCUAUCAGCUUGUUGGUGGGGUNAUGGCCACCAAGGCGACGACGGGUAGCCGGCCUGAGAGGGCGACCGGCCACACUGGGACUGAGACACGGCCCAGACUCCUACGGGAGGCAGCAGUGGGGAAUCUUGCGCAAUGGGCGAAAGCCUGACGCAGCGACGCCGCGUGAGGGAUGACGGCCU